CUCUUUGGUGAUUUAUCAGGAUCUGGAUUGGAAUGUUAAAUCCAUAACCAAAAUUGGGAAAAUUAUGGGGGAAGUUUUACCUAUUCAACCUGCAGAUGCAGUACCAGAAGAAGGUGUCCCAGUGAAGGUGCCUGUAAAGCUUCUACUGACUAUUUGGCUAAGGCUCAUGCUAAGCCUCAUUAUUUUGGUGAGAUGAAAGAAGGAGAAAGGAAGGAAAUUGUGGUUUCAAGAGCUGGUGAUCAAGUCCCUAAUUUCGUAGUGGAUUUAUUCCAUCAAAAGAUGGCUAUGUUGUGAGUCCUAGAACUAUUUAUGAAGAUGGGAAAAAUGAUUCUGCUGAAGGAGAAAGACUUGGUAAGAGGCAGGGAAAUGAGGUUCCAGAUAUACAUGUUUUGGAACAUGCUGAUAAUGGUAGUGGCAAACAAGACAUCUCAUGUAGUCACUGAAAAGGAUAUCCAAAAGGGCAACACAAGGGAGACUCAGGUAAUUGCAUUGGAGUUCAAGGGAAAUACUUUGAUGGAGGAAUGAGAGAAGGCAUAGAAGUGGAGG